AAGCUACUUUGCUUUGGGAGUGCCGUCUGGCCAGACUAAUAAAGGUCUGUUUUACUUUCCAACUUGUCCGGUGUGUUCCCUCCUGGGUGUUCUUUGCUGCAGUCAGCUCCUCAGAGCGUUUGGUAAGGCCACUCGGUCUUACAGUAGGUAACAGAGAAACUGUAGCUUUUAUGUCAAGGUAACUACAGUGGAGGGACAGCUCACACUGAGUGUCAACGGAAGCCACUCUAAUGCAUAAGUUCUCACUUCAUAUAGAGUUACAAGAUAAGACAAGGAGUGAUGAUCCAGUCCUUACAAAUAUAUUAUAGUUUAUUAAAUGAUUGAAAUAAUGCAUAAACAUGCAAAUGCAAAAACCCACAAAAGAUGAAAAUCAUAGUAGAAUAUAACAAAAUAAGCAAAAGAAAUGAGUAUAGAAGCACCAAAAACUAAAAAUAGAAAAGCACAAAAAUGAUAUCUCAACUGUUGAGACUUAAAAAAAAAAGAAAGUGUUCAGGAAAUUUUAAAGGAAUGAAAAGAUCAUUUUGGAAAGAGAAAUAAACUAAAAGGAAAAAGAGACAGCAUGCCAAGUACAGUGAGGGAAGUGAAAAACAGAACAGGUAAAAAUCAAUGGAACUGAAUUUAAAGAAAAUGAUGGAAAUGAAAGAUUGAGAUAGGACCCAGGCCAAUUGGAAUAGAAAAGAAUCCUGAGGAACAAUGCAGAAUGGAAUGAAAUAAAUAUCACACAAUGUACUCAGUAAACGGUGUCCCUAGCACUCAACAAUAGAAAGUAUAUUUUCAUAGAACUGCAGACUUUAACAAUAGAGUCUUUCAAUAUUUAAUAGGAAAAAUCAAGUCACACAGAAGAAAGAAAAUAUUUUUAGCAGCACCAGCAGCAGCAUUUUACCCCACAAAGCAAUGAAGCAGCACAUCUAAGAACUUCAAGAAAUAGAAAUUUGAGAAGCACAAAAAGCUAGAAAUAGAUCAACAACAUAAAUAAAACAAGAAAUUAAUAAAUAUAAAAGCAAAAAUUGAGUUAGAAAAAUAAAUAAAUGAGUUUUUGUUUUUUUUUUAAAAAUAAGUAACAGAGUAAGUAACCAACUGGCUAAUCUAAAGCAAAGUGGAACAAACAAUACUAGCAAAUUUAAUAAAAAGCUCAGAUUAAAAUAACAAAUGCUACUCAAACAGGAAAUUAAAAUUGUUACUUAAAAGCAAUCUUAAGUUAAUAAAUGAGACAGACCAAAUAAUGGAUAGUUUCCUAGGAAAAUACACUUCAAUAAACAGACUCCAAUAGAUCAAAUAAGUCUAAGUAGACCAAAUUCCAUUAAAAACCAGGAAAUACUGCAAGGUGAACCAAAUCAAACAGUAGCAAAAUCAGAUGGCUUCAGAGGACAUUUAUGCCAAAACUGAAAGUUAAAAGAUCCUGUGUAUUCAGAUUAUUUUGGAUUAUCGAAAGUGCAUGCUUAUGCAUAUACACACACACAAGAAAUCUAAUAGUAAAACCUGAAAAAUAUUCUACAGAAUUCAAAAUAAAAAACAAUAAGAAAUAUAAUCAAAUAACACACUGAAACUGUAUGAAAAUAAAAACAUGUAAGAAUAAAAAUAUAUCACUUCCUAGUGGGGUUUCAUCCAAGAAUGUAAGAAUAACUUAGUAUUAGAAAAUUUAUUACAAAAGGAGAACAAUAAUCAAUGGAAAAAGUUAAAAAUCUAUCCCAAAUACAACUCUGAAAAAUUAGAAUUAAUGUGUAUUCCUUUAAUCUGAUAAAGAUAUCCAUACUUUAAGCUCAAAUCCCUAAAAUUACUCAAUGAGAAAAUCCUAGAAUUGCUUUGGGUAAACCAGGAACAAAACAAACAUGUUCAUGCUUCUAACGCUAUUUAUAAUUUUAUCAGGAAUAUUAGCUGGUCCAAUUAAAUAUAAGAAAAAAUUAGGGGUAUGACAAUUGGAAAGAGCUAAGUGUUUUUAUUUGCAUUUGAUAUGUGAUAUGAAAAUAUCAAAAGAAAUAAUGGAAAGACUCCUAUAAAUAAUGCAAGAUUUUAGUUAAUCUACUAAAGGAG
ensembl:lncRNA